UACAGAGGGUGCGAGCGUUGUCCGGAAUCACUGGGCGUAAGGGCGCGUAGGUGGUGGCUUAAGCGUGCGGUGAAAGCUCGGGCUCAACUCCGAGUCGGCCGUGCGAACUGGGCUCACUGGAGCAUAGUAGAGGCAGGUGGAAUUCCGGGUGUAGCGGUGGAAUGCGUAGAGAUCCGGAAGAACACCGGUGGCGAAGGCGGCCUGCUGGCUAUGGCUGACACUGAGGCGCGACAGCGUGGGGAGC
rnacentral:rRNA from 1 species